AAUCAACGCUGGCGGCGUGCCUCAGACAUGCAAGUCGAACGAGAACCUCCCUUCGGGGAGGAGACAGUGGCGUCACGGGUGAGUAACACGUGGGUAAUUUACCUUUGGGUGGGGAACAACAGCCGGAAACGGCGUGCUAAUACCGCAUAAUGCAGCGGCUCGACAUCGAGACAGUUGUUAAAGCGGGGGAUCGCAAGACCUCGCGCCUGAAGAGAAGUCCUGCGG
rnacentral:rRNA from 1 species